CGGACCGGCGCACGGGUGAGUAACGCGUAUGCAACCUGCCCGUUUCAGCGGGAUAACCCGGAGAAAUCCGGCCUAAUACCGCAUGUGGCCGAGGGGAGGCAUCUUCUUUCGGCCAAAGGAGGCGACUCCGGAGACGGAUGGGCAUGCGUGACAUUAGCUUGUUGGCGGGGUAACGGCCCACCAAGGCGACGAUGUCUAGGGGUUCUGAGAGGAAGGUCCCCCACACUGGUACUGAGACACGGACCAGACUCCUACGGAAGGCAGCAG
rnacentral:rRNA from 1 species